ensembl:lncRNA
AAUAAAAAUAAAUAAAAUAUAUAUAUAAAAAUAAUACUCCAUUAAAUGAAUGAAUGAAUGAAUGAAACUCCUAAUAAAAGCCUCUACUGGCGGUUUCCGUUGACUGCAACACUCGCUCCUCCUACAGAUGGCGGCUCCCCGCAAACACAACAGCACUAUCUUUCAUCAUGGAGUGUAUCAAAUAAAUUUACACAAUGGCUGGUACGCAUCGCAUAUCAUUUUGUUAUAAUGUUUGACUCUUUUCAGUAUUAAACAGACGCGUAUGGUAAAGUCACCGCCACUCACGCGGUUUGACAGCUGGGAAAUUUAGAUUUUUUGUAACUUUACUUGCAAAAUGUACAAUGUAUAACGUUCCAUAAGAUUUAGUCAGAAUGUAUCAAGUAAACGCUCUUUUGUAAAGUUAGAGUUUUCUUUGGAGAGCUUGUUUUCGUUUGAUUGUGAAGUCGGUAAAGCCUUGUGCAUCAAGAGAGCAUCUUAUUACUGGAAGCGUUUUCUGAUAGACUGUCGCCUUUCUGUGUAAUUUAUUGUUCACGGUAGGAUUUGUCAUAAAACAUCAAGCACUUCGGCUAAAACAGCCUAGUUCGAUGACUUGAACUGUUGCCAACUUCCCAGUAGUUUCGUUUCUGAAGACUAGCAAAAUAGCUUCGCUUCCCGCCCAUACACAUUUCAGUCACAAAGUGACGUUGCAAAUCGUCAAAGUCAAUACAAAUGAGAGGGACGCGCUGAAAUUAGGUGUUUCCUUUUCUCCAUUACCUUUCCAAGACCAAAGGGUAAAAUUUUCUCCAUUGUUUUUCUUUUUACAGACACACGGCCACCUGAUAGAAAACUGGAAGCAUGUAGCACAGAACACUCAGAAGACUUUUAAAGACACCUACCUGUGUUUCUUCAGUAUAAAAUGUCACGAUUACUCAAGCAGUACUUCACCUCUAUGGGUGAGAUUAUAUGUGGUAUAUACUGUACAGGGAUGCUUGAUGUGUUGGGCCGCUGUUGAUCUGCUUGUGGGCUUACUGCAGUGUGGCACAAUGGUAAUACUGGAUGCAUUGGCUUGCAGAUUUUUCCUCCUGUUUUCUAGACUUGAGGCUGGAAUACAUUGCACGACGAUUGCAUGAAAAUUACAAAUGAUAAAAAAACAAUAUCUGUUCUAAAUUCAGCCCCCCAAAAAAAACAAACAUGCUUGAUCCUCAGACUGGAUUGAAUCACAGUCUGAAGCUGCAAAUCGGAUUCUGUGCCCAUCAUACACUAUGUGAUUUUCUGCUAAAUUAGUUAACUUCAGUUGCCCAAAAUCUGCAGACUGGCUCGGACUUUUGGCAACUAUCCACGACUCCAUCAGACUGCAGAUCGGAACAAAAAUCUGUGCACAAGUCGUCUAGUAUAUUCCAGUUAACUGAUGUCAGUGCUCUUUCAUAUUUGCAUGUCAGUCUGAUUUGUGCCAGCUAACAAUCUUAAUAAGCAUGCACUAACAUUUAAUACAGGAUUGCAAGGGGAUUCAGCUGCCAUGAUGAUAUAUUGAUAAGAGGUUGUAUCUCUUUUGUACUUCUUGUCUGAAUGUCUGACAAUGUGUUUGAUUUAUUUUAAGUGCAAGAAAUAAUUCCGCUUGGUGCUCCGCGACGUGACAGUGUAGCUGCCACACCACAUCCUGUGUCAGGUAGUCCACGUAUUGAACCUUCUGAGAAGAAUCCAAAAUUCUUGAACUCCCUGCCUAAUUGCAUCCAGCCCACCAAAAACCCUGAGCUGGAGCAGAGGGGCAAGAACACUUCAGUUGCACUCAAAGCCUCCAACAAGAGACCAGAACAGGACACUAUUCACAAUCGCAAAGUUAUAGGGAGAAAACUACAACCUAAUAAUGGCAACAUUAACUCCAGGAAGAAUGGCUCUCUCAAUCAAACAGUUAAAAAGGACAUCCUGCAGAGGACCAGUUCUUACAACAGAAACAAAGAAAUUUCUUAUGCUAUCACUAAGGAGCUGAAUGAAAACCUGAAGGUAAAUGCAACUCUUAAUUAAAGUUAUUAUACACAUUUCUAAGAGUAUUGUAAUGCAGGGAUUCCCAAAUUUCAGCCAAAUUGAAUUAAAUCCUAAACAAAUUGUUUUAUUCUGUGAAAUGGCAAGAUAUAACAGUUGAAAUACUUUAGAGCUGAGCAUAAAUAGAAAACAAUUUAAUGCAAAAAUUGAAACUUUUUCCAUGACUUUCCAUGACUGAAUAAAUAAUUGCUGUACCUACUGCGAUUAUUUAAGUUAAUAUUUCAGUAAUUUAACAACACAUUUGCAUCUACACAGUUUCUGGUGUUGGUUAAUGGUCAAAUGACAUGCAGGUAAACACACUAAAUAUUUUAUAUCAGUAGUCUUUUAUUUUAAUUGUUUUUAUUUAGAAUUUUUUUUUUUUUUUAUGAUUUAAUUAUUAGCUCUUCAUGAAGUCACAAACCCCCUGCAGUUCCCUUAGCAUGGGAAACCCUGUAUUACUCAAUACUUUACAUUGGCUUAUAUGUUAACUGUUUUUUUUUCUGGUGAAUAACCUCAGGGCUUUGGCGGUCAUGGAAAAUAUUAUGCAAUUAUAAAAUGGGGUUUUCCAGGAUGUAAAUUUGUUGAAAGUAAUAAAUCUAGAUUUUUUUUUAUUUUUUUUUGCAUUGAAUUGAAUUGAUUGAAAUUUUUUCCCUAUUUAUGCUGUUUUAUCAGUUAUAUCUUGCUAUUGUUCAUAAUAUAUCUUUUCAUUGUGAUGUCCAAUUUGUGCGCUUUUAAGAUUGUUCUUUUCUGUGAUUUGAUCAAAUGGGUUCUCGGAUAAAUCUGAAUAAUUCAUUAAUGCAUCUGUCAUAAUCAAAGAUGAUUUGUUUUUAAAUGACUGGAAAGGCCAAAGUACUGGAAUUUAAUUACUCCAAAAUGUGGGAGCCCUGUCAUUUAGAUUUUGUUACGUAAUUGUGAUAGCUUGUGGUUGGUGUUUGUUUAUUGUAUUCUAACUUCAUAAUC